ensembl:snRNA U4 U4 spliceosomal RNA
AGCUUUGUGCAGUGGCAGUAUCGUAGCCAAUGAGGUUUAUCUGAGGCGCAAUUAUUGCUAAUUGAAAACUUUUCCCAAAGAUCUUAAUGCAUAUUAUCAAAUUGCCAAAUUAAAAAUUUGCUCUCAUAUAUGG